GAUGAACGCUAGCGGCAGGCUUAAUACAUGCAAGUCGAGGGGCAGCAUGGUGUAGCAAUACACUGAUGGCGACCGGCAAACGGGUGCGGAACACGUACAGAACCUUCCUUCGAGCGGGGAAUAGCCCAGAGAAAUUUGGAUUAAUACCCCAUAGUAUAUUGAAAAGGCAUCUUUUUAAUAUUAAAGAUUUAUCACUUGAAGAUGGCUGGGCGGCUGAUUAGGUAGUUGGCGGGGUAACGGCCCACCAAGCCUGCGAUCAGUAACUGGUGUGAGAGCACGACCAGUCACACGGGCACUGAGACACGGGCACGACUCCUACGGGAGGCAGCAGUAAGGAAUAUUGGUCAAUGGACGAAAGUCUGAACCAGACAUGCCGCGUGGAGGAUGAAGGUCCUCUGGAUUGUAAACUUCUUUUAUAUGGGACGAAAAAAGGCUUUUCUAAGUCGUCUGACGGUACCAUAUGAAUAAGCACCGGCUAACUCCGUGCCAGCAGCCGCCGUAAAAC
rnacentral:rRNA from 1 species